rnacentral:misc_RNA from 1 species
AAUAAUUAUUUAAUUUCUUUUUCUUUUUUGUCUUUGUAACAAUUCUUCAUUUUUUUAUUUUCGAAUCAACGCUGAUCAACUCAAAUGACGUGUACGAUAAAUCUUACAGUAUAAUACCACAUUACUCACGCGAUUCUUUAAGUCUGAUUUGUCAUGCGACUGUCUUCAAAUUAUUACACAUACCCAUGUGAGAUAUUGUAUAUCGCCGGAUUUCAUUCUCGAUAACGCCUCUCUAUAUCAAUGUUGUGUAAAUUAUAAAUAUAUUGCAAUGUGGUUAGAUAAUUUUGGUACGCAACUGAACCACCAACAUCCGCCUGUUCCAACGUCACUAUAAGUAUGUACCAUUUCUCUGCGGCAAUAAAGUUGUAGGCCAGCACGUGCGUCAAUUGACGAUUUUAGUUUAUUUCUCCUUUGACUCGGGCACGCAGAUUUCUUGCGAAGUUUAUCUCGCAACGCCGUACCCUGGUGUACGCUAUAAUGUACGUACGUCCAUGAAUCCAAAGCAACGUGAAUAUGAUACAGAGAGAAAGAUAGAGAGAGGGAGGAAUGCAUAAUGGGUAACGAUUCUACGACGUCGCGAAAUACAAGGGAGGAAAAAAAAAAACCAAACCGAUGUGCUUAGAAUCUGCGACAUUACGAAUGAUUCACGAACAUAAAAUAUAUAAUCGUAGACACGUGGUUCGUUUUAGCCAAUUCUGAUGAAUUUUCGCUGAUUCAUAAAUGAAAAAAAGAAGUAACAUUAAGGGUUACUAGAAUGAUAAAACUGG